AAAAGAAAUUGAGAAAAAAAAUACAAAAUCUUAUACCAAAAUAUUGCAAUUAAAUAUUUUUUUCAAGAGUUUUUAAUUGCAUAUAUUAAUCAAAAUUUCAUAAUCAAAAUCAAACUUAAAUUAACUAAUUUAUUCAUGAAUGACCAAAAUUUAUAUAAAAUUAUUUAAUUUUUCUUUCCCUCCUCCUACGUCUCCAGACAGUUACAAACAUGGGCAACGGUGGAAAAGGCAGAGCACGAACAAAGAAUAGCUUUUGACUGGGUUUGACUCUUCCAUCUCUUUACUGUGCAUGACAUUGACCGAUCUGUCUUCAGAUGGCAAGACAAAACCCAACAGCCUGGAGCGACCAAGCCCGCUUCAUACUGAAUGGUCAACCGCGAAUAGGGUACCUCUUCUUCUCGUUCCAUGCCUUUCUCAAUCCUCUCUGGCUCUCACUCGUGGUUGGUUUGGUUGGACUUUCUUGUUUCUGCUAACGAAGUGGCAAGAAAUCUUGAGGUUACUGAUUAGAGCCUGUGAAUGACAUCUUCUCCUACACUUGGUAAUUCUCUUGGUUAAUAUGCCUAACUUAGUUUUCAUACUGAAUACAAAGUCUCCUAUUUCACAUAUCCUGAAUAUUUUCCCUUUUCUUAUUUAUUUUUUAUCUCUCCUCAUGCUACAUGAAGAAAAAAGAAUUUACUACAUUUGAAGGUAAGGUAAGGCCAUGCAUGCAUAUUCUAUCUUAGGACAACUACCUAGUCUUGUGGGACUGGGCUACAAAUCUACGUUUGCUUUUUCUCAGGGCCAAUCCAGUUGUCCUGGCCAUUCCCAUGCAGGUGGUUCUAGACCAUCUACUGAGCCCCAGUUGGCACUUGCUGCAGUCCCUGGGUGAUCAACAUGAUCUUCCACUGAGCAUGACGUUUCAGGUGAGCUUGUCAUAUCCACAGUUGGAUCAGGGCCCUGAGCAGAUGCUGUAGCUGCAUCUCCAAGAAGCUGCGUCUCUCUUGUCACAGCUUCUAGUGGCCGCCUAUCAAAUGCACGAAAGCUUCCUGAUACCACAUAGACUCGACACAAGCUGAAUUCAUGCCUCAACUACAUUCAGGAAUCGGAGGACAUCCAAAUGGUGGUUAGUAAUUAUUUGAAAACGGUUGCAUGUUGCAUGACAGGUACAUCUUUUUAAUUCAAAAAACUAAAAGAUCAUAUACAUGCAUGCACACCUUUGGAGUAGCAUUACUAGAAGAUUCAUGAACUUCAAUGGCUCUGUACUCAUUCAUCUUCCAUUUGGUUUUUCUUCCUCUUGGAGCUUUUCCCGUAUAGAACACCAUGGUUUUCUUCAAUCCAAUCACACGAUUGUCCGACGAGUAAACAUAACCAGGAGAGCCUGUGGCCUUCCAGUACCCGGAUGCUGUAGUCCGGUUAGGUCUCCCUCCCCUAGCUUCUCUCUCUUGCCUGGGUGUAAAGAAGAACCACUGCUCGGUGUCUCCCUGACAUAGUUCUCCUGAAAGCUCUGCAACAUAGUGCAAGAGACAAACUAAUUAAAGUCACCACUCAACUUCUACCGCGAGCAUUUUAGCAUUCUUCUACCUAGUUUAUCAUUAGUAAAACAAAAUAGAACAAAUUUAAGUGCGGUUUUUUACUUGGAAGUUCCCAUGGUUCGAUGUCGUAAAUGCUGAUGUCUGGAAUAACACGUUGUAGACUUUCUUGCCUCCCCCCUCCCAGCUUAUUAUGCAGGUAGAAGGAGAUCAGCUCUUCUUCUGUUGGGUAGAAGCGGUAACCUAGAGGGAGUUCCUCCAUUCUUGUUCUUGUUCUUGUGUCUUGUUCCCUUGUCAGCCUGAGCUGUAUAAGCAUGCAUCAUGUACUUAUAUAAUGACCUUGUUGAAGGGGAAAGAGGAAAGACGAUGGAUUUGCCGAGUGAAAUGCGAGAGAAAAAAUGCAGACUGUGGAAACUUCUACGCGGUUGCAAGGAAAAGAUUAAUUUUUAUCCUGUGAUGAUUAUACAGCUGUAUAAAAUAACGUUUCUUUUCCAACAAAAUUUCUUUUGAACAAGUCAGCAUGCACUUUUCUCUCCUGUACCUCUCCGUCCUUUGUCAUGGGCACCCGGACCCAAAAGGCCUAUUAAUGCCCGUGGUGUGGUUUCUCCGUGCU